rnacentral:rRNA from 1 species
CCUACGGGUGGCAGCAGUGGGGGAUAUUGCACAAUGGGGGGAACCCUGAUGCAGCGACGCCGCGUGGGUGAAGGAGCGCUUCGGCGCGUAAAGCCCUAUCGGCAGGGAAGAAGCUGACGGUACCUGACCAAGAAGCCCCGGCCAACUACGUGCCAGCAGCCGCGGUAACACGGAGGGGGCAAGCGUUAUCCGGAUGUACUGGGGGUAAAGGGGGCGGAGACGGGAAUGCAAGCCAGGAGUGAAAGCCCGGGGCCCAACCCCGGGACUGCUCUUGGAACUGGAUGGCUGGAGUACAGGAGGGGCAGGCGGAAUGCCUGGUGUAGCGGUGAAAUGCGUAGAUAUUAGGAGGAACACCGGUGGCGAAGGCGGCCUGCUGGACUGUGACUGACGUUGAGGCCCGAAGGCGUGGGGAGCGAACAGGAUUAGAUACCCCUGUAGUC